rnacentral:rRNA from 1 species
AUUGAACGCUGGCGGCAGGCCUAACACAUGCAAGUCGAGCGCGCGGCGGACGGGUGAGUACUGUAGGGGGACUGCCCGAUAGAGGGGGAUAACCACUGGAAACGGUGGCUAAUACUGCAUCCUGUCGGCUAACCCCUAUGGGAUUAGCUAGUAGGUAAGGUAAUGGCCUACCUAGGCGACGAUCCCUAGCUGGUCUGAGAGGAUGAUCAGCCACACUGGGACUGAGACACGGCCCAGACUCCUACGGAGGCAGCAGUGGGGAAUAUUGCACAAUGGGCGCAAGCCUGAUGCAGCCAUGCCGCGUGUAUGAAGAAGGCCCUAGGGUUGUAAAGUACUUUCAGUCGGGAGGCGUUACCGACAGAAGAAGCACCGGCUAACUCCGUGCCAGCAGCCGCGGUAAUUC